ACAUCGGGGACGGGCUAACGGCAACAGUCUCGCAUUUGGUUCUCUUACCUGUCUUCUCCGGCAAGUCGGCGAACGGAAAACGAUGUGCACAUUGGAGAAGCGAGGAAACAUCUUCAUCCUCACCCUAACAGGCGAAGCCGACCACCGCUUAAACCCGACACUCAUCGAUUCCAUCACCGCCGCCGUCCGCCGCGCCCGCUCCGAAGCCACGGCCCCCUCCGCUCUGAUCACUACGGCGCAAGGGAAGUUCUUCUCCAACGGUUACGAUCUGAAAUGGGCGAAGCAGGACAUGGAGCGCCGCGGCAAGAUUAUGUCCUCUAAGCUCCGCCUCCUCGUCGCGGAGCUAAUCAACCUCCCCAUGCCUACCAUCGCCGCCGUCACUGGCCACGCAUCCGCCGCCGGCUUCGUGCUCGCGCUCUGCCACGACUAUAUUCUCAUGCGCCGGGACCGAGGGUUUCUCUACAUGAGCGAGCUCGACAUUGGACUCAGGCUUCCCGCCUGGUUUAUUGCGCUCAUGAAAUGUAAAAUUGGCUCGCCGGUGGCUCUCCGAGAAGUAGCUCUGGCAUCGGCGAAGCUGACCGGAGACAUCGCGCUGCAGAAAGGAAUUGUCGAUUCGGUGCACAAUAACGCAGAUGAGACUCUGAAAGCAGCUGAAAAAUUGGGGGAAGAAUUGGUGAGAAGAAAUUGGGAUGGAAAUACGUAUUCUGGUAUAAGGACAACCCUGUUUGCCCAAGUAUUGGACUCGCUGGAGUCCGAUGAGACCGUCGGAGACUUCGGCAAAAAGGAAGCCAAGAAGGCCGUCUCCCGACUGUGACUGCCGGGAUGAAGAUUAUUCUAGCUGGAGGUUCUGGAAGUAUAAGCUUUUACACAUAGAAAUCAUGCUUAGGAUGAUGAUGGUCAAUGUUCUUGCAAUGAAAAACUUACUACUUUUUGCACUUCCUAUGUAUAAAAUCUUCUUGAUAUUGUUUUUGAGUGACAAGGGCAACCCGCAGACCGGGUAAACCCUGACCCUAGCAAGAAAAGGAGCUCAAGGAGGUAAACUAACAUAAGUUGCCCAUAACUAACUUCGCUCAAACCAAGAAGUUCAAUAGGCUGCUCCGCCAAAGUUGAACUUUUAACCUUAUGAAUUUGUGAUUAUGAGGUCACAGUUUGACCAAUUUGGCUAGAGUUGUCCCAUCUUCUUGAUAUUUCAAACUUAUCAAACAAGGGAUUACAUCAAAUUGAUGAGAGAAUGGUUUUCUUCUAUGUUUAUCUGGAUCUGCAGUUCAUAUAUUACUAAAUGCUAUAUAAUUAAAGCACACAAAGGAAGCCUGUGAACAGAUAAGCUAUACCAUAAUAUUCGAUGAGGAUACAAAAUGGUAAGGUUAUCUAAGGUGAACUUGCUCAGUUGCUCCAUGCUCUUGCUGUCUAUAAAGGCUUACUGCAACUUCUCAACUUACAGGCUGCCCUGCAGACCAAAAGACACAAAAAGAGUAAACCCCAUACCAGCAUUCAGUUUUCUUGGUUCUUCUCACAGAGAUGUGCACACUGGAAAAGCGAGGUAACAUCUUCGUAUUGACACUAACUGACAAUGAUGAGCACCGGUUACACCCGGUCCUCAUCAACUCCAUCAGUGCUGCUCUCCGCCAGGCCAGAGCAGAAGCCACAGGCCCGUCAGUUUUGAUAACCACAGCACAAGGGAAGUUCUUCUGCAAUGGCUACAACCUUAAUUGGCUCUUACAGGACGCUGCUCGCCGCUCAAAGAUCAUGUGCUCCCUUGUCCAACGACUUGUGGCUGACUUCUUCGCUCUUCCCAUGCCCACCAUCGCUGCCCUCACUGGCCAUGCCUGUGGCGGUGGCUUUGGACUCGCGCUCUGCCAUGACUAUAUUCUAAUGUGGCGUGACAGAGGGUUCCUUUGCAUGAACGAGCUUGAUAUCGGGCGCAAGCUGCCAGCCUGGUUCUUCGCUCUCAUGAAACACAAGAUCGCAUCCCCCUCAGCUCAGCGCGACAUUGCCUUGAGAGCCACUAUGCUGACAGGCGACAUGGCGCUCCAGAAAGGCAUCGUUCACUCGGUUUACAACAGUGCAGAGGAGACCUUUAAAGCAGCUGAACAACUGGGGUUAGAACUGGUGAGCAGAAACUGGAAUGGAAAGAUAUAUGCCGAGAUGAGGACAACCAUGUUUGCCGAGGUACUGCACUUGCUCCAAAACGAUGACACUGCCGAAAACGAGACCGUUGAGAUUGCCUCUCGACUGUAACCGAGAGAAACUGACAAUCACUAUCUAAAGGUGUGUACUGUAGCUGCCAUGUUUUGUUUUUACAUUGUAUGCACAAGUAGUAGUGUAAGAUGAUCUGUCUACAUUUCAAUAUACUAAGGGUGUGUUUGGUUCAUGGGUUUAUACACUAGAAAUGAGAAUAAAAAUUAUAAUUAGUGUUUGGUUGA